rnacentral:tRNA from 1 species
GGCCAGGUGGCGGAACUGGUAUACGCUCCAGCUUGAGGUGCUGGUCUCCGAAAGGAGGUGCAGGUUCGAUUCCUGUCCUGGCCACCA